GCUCUGUGAUCCGAGUGGCGAACGGGUGCGUAACACGUGACCAACCUGUCCUAGGGUGAGGGACAACCUGGGGAAACCUGGGCUAAUACCGCAUGACGUCCUAACCUCGCAUGGGGAUUGGACCAAAGAGGGCCUCUGCUUGCAAGCUCUCGCCAAAGGAGGGGGUCGCGGCGUAUCAGCUAGUUGGUGGGGUAACGGCCUACCAAGGCUACGACGCGUAGUGGGUCUGAGAGGACGACCCGCCACAUUGGGACUGAGAUACGGCCCAGACUCCUACGGGAGGCAGCAGUGGGGAAUAUUGCGCAAUGGCCGAAGGGCUGACGCAGCGACGCCGCGUGUGGGAGGAAGCCCCUCGGGGUGUAAACCACUGUCGGAGGGGAAGAACCCUGUCAUUUCGAAUAGGGAUGGCAGUUGACGGUACCCUCAAAGGAAGCACCGGCUAACUCCGUGCCAGCAGCCGCGGUAAGACGGAGGGUGCAAGCGUUGUUCGGAAUUACUGGGCGUAAAGCGCGGGCAGGUGGCCUGUUAAGUGUUCUGUGAAAACCCGGGGCUCAACUCCGUGGAGUGCAGAACAUACUGGCAGGCUAGAGACCAGUAGAGGCUAGCGGAAUUCCUGGUGUAGCGGUGGAAUGCGUAGAUAUCAGGAAGAACACCUGUGGCGAAGGCGGCUAGCUGGGCUGGAUCUGACACUCAUCCGCGAAAGCGUGGGGAGCAAACAGG
rnacentral:rRNA from 1 species